rnacentral:rRNA from 1 species
GACGAACCGUGCGAACGUUAUUCGGAAUCACUGGGCUUAAAGGGCGCGUAGGCGGGCCGACGAGCCAGGGGUGAAAUCCUCCAGCCCAACUGGAGAACAGCCCCUGGGACCGGCGGCCUCGAGGGGUGCAGGGGCAUGCGGAACUCAGGGUGGAGCGGUGAAAUGCGUAGAGAUCCUGAGGAACACCGGUGGCGAAAGCGGCGUGCUGGACACCUACUGACGCUGGAGGCGCGAAAGCCAGGGGAGCGAACGGG